rnacentral:rRNA from 1 species
AUUGAACGCUGGCGGCAGGCCUAACACAUGCAAGUCGAACGAGUGGCGGACGGGUGAGUAAUGUCUGGGAAACUGCCUGAUGGAGGGGGAUACCUACUGGAAACGGUAGCUAAUAACGCAUACCAUCAGAUGUGCCCAGAGGGGAUUCGCGAGUUGGUGGGGUAACGGCUCACCAAGGAGACGAUCCCUAGCUGGUCUGAGAGGAUGACCAGCCCCACUGGAAUGGAGACACGGUCCAGACUCCUAAGGGAGGCAGAAUUGGGGAAUAUUGCACAAUGGGCGCAAGCCUGAGGCAGCCAUGCCGCGUGUAUGAAGAAGGCCUUCGGGUUGUAAAGUACUUUCAGCGGGGAGGCGUUACCCGCAGAAGAAGCACCGGCUAACUCCGUGCCAGCAGCCGCGGUAAUUC